GCCGAUGGACAAUGCCAUGCCCUUCGGGGGAAAGAUUUAUCGGGGAUGGAUGAGCCUCGAUCAUGGUGGGGUAAAGGCCUACCAAGGCGACGAUCCAUAGCUGGUCUGAGACCACAUUGGGACUGAGACACGGCCCGAUGACGUACAAGUGGGGAAUAUUGGACAAUGGGCGCAAGCCUGAUCCAGCGGUGGGAAUAAUGCAGUACCAUGCCGCGUGAGUGAUGAAGCGGAUGCUUAGGAUUGUAAAGCUCUUUCACACGGUAUCCGGAGAAGAAGCCCCGGCUAACUUCGUGCCAGCAGCCGCGGUAAUACGAAGCGUUGGAAACUGGGGCUGCGUUGUUCGGAAUUACUGGGCGUAAAGCGCGAUAUUUAAGUCAGGGGUGAAAUCCCAGAGCUCAACUCUGGAACUGCCUUUGAUACUGGCCGAUAAAACUAUCUUGAGUAUGGAAGAGGUAACCGUACCAGUCAUGAAUGGAAUUGCGAGUGAAAUUCGUAGAUAUUCGCAGGAACACCAGUGGCGAAGGCCGAUGACAAACGGCACGCUGAGGUGCGAAACAGGAUUAGCCAGUGACGGUAAUACCCUCCGUAAACGAUGAAUGUUAGCCGUCGGCAAGUUUACUUGUCGGUGGCGCAGCUAACGCCGUGACGUAAUUAUUAAACAUUCCGCCCGGCCAGUAAAUUUGCCCAUGUCG
rnacentral:rRNA from 1 species